UACGUAGGGAGCAAGCGUUGUCCGGAUUUAUUGGGCGUAAAGCGCUCGCAGGUGGUUCAUUGCGUCGUGCGUGAAAGACCCCGGCUCAACUGGGGAGGGUCGUGCGAAACGGGUGAACUAGAGGCCAGUAGGGGGAUGCGGAAUUCCGGGUGUAGUGGUGGAAUGCGUAGAGAUCCGGAGGAACACCAGCGGCGAAGGCGGCAUCCUGGACUGGUCCUGACACUCAGGAGCGAAAGCGUGGGGAGCGAUCCGG
rnacentral:rRNA from 1 species